rnacentral:rRNA from 1 species
GACGAACGCUGGCGGCGUGCUUAACACAUGCAAGUUGAACGGAAAGGCCCUGCUUGCAGGGUAUUCGAGUGGCGAACGGGUGAGUAACACGUGGGUGAUCUGCCCUGCACUUCGGGAUAAGCCUGGGAAACUGGGUCUAAUACCGGAUAGGAGCCAUUUUUAGUGUGAUGGUUGGAAAGUUUUUUCGGUGUAGGAUGAGCUCGCGGCCUAUCAGCUUGUUGGUGGGGUAAUGGCCUACCAAGGCGGCGACGGGUAGCCGGCCUGAGAGGGUGGACGGCCACAUUGGGACUGAGAUACGGCCCAGACUCCUACGGGAGGCAGCAGUGGGGAAUAUUGCACAAUGGGCGCAAGCCUGAUGCAGCGACGCCGCGUGGGGGAUGACGGCCUUCGGGUUGUAAACUCCUUUCGCUAGGGACGAAGCUUUUUGUGACGGUACCUAGAGAAGAGGCACCGGCUAACUACGUG